GCUGGCUUUCCACACUGCCUGCUGGCCCCAGCAAAGUACUGGAGCUACCAGGGUGCCCACACCCCCUGAACGACCCGACUCUGGGCAGACACUGCUUCUCACCACAGUAGCUCCCUAAGCGAGGGCUCUGGGGCUAUUUCUGAGCCAGUCUCUGUUCCGGGAAGACGGAGUCUUCAGAUUAUUCAUUCCCCCCACCCCAGGAAGCAAAGCCAGCACGAGCUGUCCUCAGCACGGAGCCCUGUUCCGGGCUCUGCAGUCAGCUGCCUCCCUCUCCGCCUCCUCACCCACAGUCAGGGCUCCUGAUUACGACUGAACCCGCUCCCGGCUCAAAGUUACCCUUUGUCUCAGAAGCCCUGGGCUGGCUCUGACGGCUGGAAAGCCUGAACAACAAUGAUGAAUCAGAGUAUUUAUUUUUGAGGUUUUCUCCAAGCUGCCUCUUCAUCAGCUCUUAAAUAGCAGCAUUCAAGCUGCCACAGACACUUCCAGAAGUUUGCUGGCCUGGGGUUCCUAGUGGGAAAAACUUUGCCUUCUUGGCAACAGAUGCAACAGCUCUCAAAACACCCAGUCUGAAGGAGAGGCACAAGAACCUGAAAUCAUAGAAUCGCAGAGAAAAAGGAGACUCCAGUGUGUCAGUGUCCACCAAGCAGGUGAGUGGCAGGCUGUGACAUUAACAUCCAGAAUCUUUUACAACAGUCCAGGUCAGUGCUUCAUAACGAGUCCAUGUUUCUUGCCCCUAUUUCCUGGUGGAUGUAUUAUAAGUGGAACGAUUUAGGGCUACCUAGGAUCAAACUGCUGCCAUCUUCCAAAAACCUUGAAAACUUUGAACAGUAAACCUCAAAAAGGAGGUGCCUUGAAGCGAUGUAAUUAACGUUAUUUUGGCUUAUUUUGUCCU
rnacentral:lncRNA from 1 species